GCCCAAGUAGCUCAGGGGCAGAGCAACGUCUUGGUAAGGCGUAGGUCGUGGGUUCGAUUCCCACCUUGGGCUCCA
rnacentral:tRNA from 2 species